rnacentral:rRNA from 1 species
AUUGAACGCUGGCGGCAGGCCUAACACAUGCAAGUCGAGCGGAGCGGCGGACGGGUGAGUAAUGCUUAGGAAUCUGCCUGGUAGUGGGGGAAAACGUCCGGAAAUGGGCGCUAAUACCGCAUACUAUCAGAUGAGCCUAGGUCGGAUUGGCGAGUUGGUGGGGGAAAGGCCUACCAUGGCGACGAUCCGUAACUGGUCUGAGAGGAGGAGCAGUCACACGGGAACUGGGACACGGUCCAGACUCCUACGGGAGGCAGCAGUGGGGAAUAUUGGACAAUGGGCGAAAGCCUGAUCCAGCCAUGCCGCGUGUGUGAAGAAGGUCUUCGGGUUGUAAAGCACUUUAAGUUGGGAGGCGUUACCAGCAGAAUAAGCACCGGCUAACUUCGUGCCAGCAGCCGCGGUAAUUC